rnacentral:misc_RNA from 1 species
GAUGAAGAACGUAGCGAAAUGUGAUAAGUAAUGCGAAUUGCAGAAUUCAGUGAGUCAUCGAAUCUUUGAACGCACAUUGCGCCCUGUGGUAUUCCGCAGGGCAUGCCUGUUCGAGCGUCAUUUCAACCCUCAAGCCCCGCUUGGUGUUGGGCCCCGCCCGCCGUGGCCGGCCCUAAAGACAGUGGCGGCGCCGCCUGGCCCUCAGCGUAGUACAGCUCUCGCUCCAGGGUCCGGCGGCCGCCUGCCAGAACCCCCCCAACUCUGUGGUUGACCUCGGAUCAGGUAGGGAUACCCGCUGAACUUAAGCAUAUCAAUAAGCGGAGGA